rnacentral:rRNA from 5 species
AGAAGGCCUGAUGUGUGUGAGAUU